rnacentral:rRNA from 1 species
GACAGAGGGUGCAAACGUUGCUCGGAAUUACUGGGCGUAAAGCGCGUGUAGGCUGACCGGAAAGUCGGGCGUGAAAGCCCUGAGCUCAACUCAGGAACUGCACCCGAAACUCUCGGUCUAGAGUGGUGGAGAGGGAAGUGGAAUUCCUGGUGUAGAGGUGAAAUUCGUAGAUAUCAGGAGGAACACCAGUGGCGAAGGCGGCUUCCUGGACACCAACUGACGCUGAGACGCGAAAGCGUGGGGAGCAAACAGGAUUAGAAACCCCAGUAGUCC